AUAGCGUAUAUUAAAGUUGUUGCAGUUAAAAAGCUCGUAGUUGAACCUUGGGCCUGGCUGGCCGGUCCGCCUCACCGCGUGCACUGGUCCGGCCGGGCCUUUCCCUCUGGGGAGCCGCAUGCCCUUCACUGGGCGUGUCGGGGAACCAGGACUUUUACUUUGAAAAAAUUAGAGUGUUCAAAGCAGGCUUAUGCUCGAAUACAUUAGCAUGGAAUAAUAGAAUAGGACGCGUGGUUCUAUUUUGUUGGUUUCUAGGACCGCCGUAAUGAUUAAUAGGGACAGUCGGGGGCAUCAGUAUUCAGCUGCGAGAGGUGAAAUUCUUGGACCAGCUGAAGACUAACUACUGCGAAAGCAUUUGCCAAGGAUGUUUUCAUUAAUCAGGAACGAAAGUUAGGGGAUCGAAGACGAUCAGAUACCGUCGUAGUCUUAACCAUAAACUAUGCCGAA
rnacentral:rRNA from 1 species